AUCCAACUGACGAGUCCCAAAUAGGACGAAACGUUCUUCCUGGAU
rfam:Schistosoma mansoni strain Puerto Rico chromosome 2, complete genome